rnacentral:misc_RNA from 1 species
CAACCCCUCAAGCACGGCUUGUGUUAUGGGCGGACGUCCCCUUAACCGGUGGACGGGCCCCAAAUGCAGUGACCGAGGCCGUGAUUCCGGCGCCCGAGCGAAUGGGAUUUCCACCAGCUCUAGUGGCCCGGCCGGUCCUCAGGUCCCGACCAAUUUCAUUUCAA